GUGAUCGAAGAAAGGAGUCAUACAUCUUAUAUUAACGAUAAUAAUGUGAAAAAUGUGUGCUCUCUAAUUAGCUUAUUUUUGCGGAAAAAAAGUGUUAUAUAAAAACUGCAACAUCAAGUUGAGUCAGGCAAUCUCAGCUCAACAGUGAUGGCAGUGUUUUGUGGGAUAUGGGACUGGUGGGUUUGGGUGCAUCCUACGUGACAAAAAUGGUAAAUGGAUUCGGGGUUGCAAUGGAAAAUGUGUGGAGUUACAGGUACUUCAUUCUGAGUUAUUAGAUAUUUGAUGUGAAUUGAAUUUAGAUUGGGAGAAUGGUCAUCGGUCAAUAGUGUGAGACUUAUUGUCCCGAAGCUUUAAAUAUUUAAUUUGCUCUGGUUUGAGAAUGACCUUGUAUCAUAUAGAGGCUUUCGGAAUUAAUAAAAUUGUAGAAAUCAUUUCCAAGAGGUGGCUUGUUAGGUUUUGCCUUGUGGCUCACUUUGCAAGUUCUGCUGCAGAUUUCAUGGCAAGAAAGGGUGCUCAUAGUGAUAUCCAUUACAAUGAAUCUGUGCAGCCUUAUGAUGAUGUACUUCCCUUGAUUCAGAGGAACAUGUUUGGGAACUUUAUAGCCCCUAAGUUUCUUUGUUUUCUUCUUUUUAUUUAUUUAUUUAUUUUUUUGGUGUCAAAAGAAAAGAGAAGAAACACAGCCAGAUUAGGCUCCACGAAUACUUAUGGACUAAAUUAGCUAAACUACUCCACGGCUCUAACCACUCUGCUUGUUGCACCGAGCUUCUCACUGCAUGCUUGGCCAUAAAAUCUGCAACUGCAGUAGCUGUCCUCUGCACUAAUUUAACCUCUGCUGUCCAAUUCCAAAGAAGAGUAUCAUGGAUUUUCUGAAUCAAAUCCCUAUCAGCUGCAUUUUCAUGAAAUCUAUGGGGUUGGGAUGCUAGAAAAUCAUCCACAUUGUCAGCCUGACAAAUAAUUUCCUGGCAACCGCACUCUCAGGUCAACACUAAGCCUCUCCAAAUAGCAAAAAAACUCACACCGGGCCUUUUGAUCCAUCUUCGAUUUACAUCCUUAAUGACACAGCCAAAUCCAGUUUUUCCCCCAAUCCAUUAACUUUACAAAUGAAGCCCCCUACAGCCCUACUGUUCAUCCAAAAAUCAAGGCAUAAAAUAAUACAAAACAUACCGAAAAAAGAAAAAAAAAAAAAAA